AACUUGAAACAGAAUGUGUAUUAUCCUUGGUUGUGUUUCCUUGGCCCUGCAGCAGGAUGAAGCUCUCCACUGGCAUCAUUUUCUGCUCCCUGGUCCUGGGUGUCAGCAGCCAAGGAUGGUUAACAUUCCUCAAGGCAGCUGGCCAAGGGACUAAAGACAUGUGGAAAGCCUACUCUGACAUGAAAGAAGCCAAUUACAAAAAAUUCAGACAAAUACUUCCAUGCUUGGGGGAACUAUGAUGCUGUACAAAGGGGGCUUGGGGCUGUCUGGGCUACAGAAGUGAUCAGGUAAUGCACAUUCCUGAUGUUGCCAGGAAUGAGUGAGCAGAGCUUGACUGCCUUGGACAGUCAGGAGAGAGCGAUGCCAGAGAGAACGUCCAGAGACUCACAGGAGACCAUGCAGAGGAUUCGCUGGCUGGCCAGGCUACCAACAAAUGGGGCCAGAGUGGCAAAGACCCCAAUCACUUCCGACCUGCUGGCCUGCCAGAGAAAUACUGAGCUUCCUUUUCAAUCUGCUCUCAGGAGACCUGGCUGUGAGCCCCUGAGGGCAGGGACAUUUGUUGACCUACAGUUACUGAAUUCUAUAUCCCUAGUACUUGAUAUAGAACACAUAAAAAUGCUUAAUAAAUGCUUGUGAAAUCCA
ensembl:lncRNA SAA3P serum amyloid A3, pseudogene